rnacentral:rRNA from 1 species
GAUGAACGCUGGCGGCGUGCCUAAUACAUGCAAGUCGAGCGAACAGACGAGGAGCUUGCUCCUCUGACGUUAGCGGCGGACGGGUGAGUAACACGUGGAUAACCUACCUAUAAGACUGGGAUAACUUCGGGAAACCGGAGCUAAUACCGGAUAAUAUAUUGAACCGCAUGGUUCAAUAGUGAAAGACGGUUUUGCUGUCACUUAUAGAUGGAUCCGCGCCGCAUUAGCUAGUUGGUAAGGUAACGGCUUACCAAGGCAACGAUGCGUAGCCGACCUGAGAGGGUGAUCGGCCACACUGGAACUUGGCCACGGUCCAGACUCCUACGGGAGGCAGCAGUAGGGAAUCUUCCGCAAUGGGCGAAAGCCUGACGGAGCAACGCCGCGUGAGUGAUGAAGGUCUUCGGAUCGUAAAACUCUGUUAUUAGGGAAGAACAAAUGUGUAAGUAACUAUGCACGUCUUGACGGUACCUAAUCAGAAAGCCACGGCUAACUACGUG